GUCGCCCCUCUUGGGAAGUACGCCCGCAAAGUGCUGGAAUUUCAAAGGAAUUACCGGGGGCCCACCACAAAGCGGGGGAGCAUGUGGUUUAAUUCGACGCCAACGCCGAAGGACCUUGCCUAGGCAUGACAUGGCAUGGGAAAGCCCCUGGAAAACAGGGGCCCCUCCUUCGGAGCUCAUGCGCAGGUGCAGCAUGACUGGUCGUCAGCUCGUGUCGUGAGAUGUUGGGUUAAGUCCCGCAACGAGCGCAACCCUUACCCUUAGUUGCCAGCGAGUCAUGUCGGGGACUCUAGGGGGACUGCCGGUGCCAAACCGGAGGAAGGUGGGGAUGACGUCAAGUCAUCAUGGUCCCUUACGUCUAGGGCUACACACGUGCUACAAUGGCAGGUACAGAGGGCUGCGAAGGGGCAACCUGGAGCCAAUCCCCAAAGCCUGCCUCAGUUCGGAUUGUCGGCAUGCAACUCGCCGGCAUGAAGCUGGAAUCGCAUAGUAAUCGCGG
rnacentral:rRNA from 1 species